UCUAUGGUUGGGUCUAUGAUUCCUGGAGCUUCAAAUUACUUUUCCUCAGAGUGGAGCUUUGCUCAGGUUCGCGGGAUUGAUCCCAAUUCAGUAUGUGCUUUUGGAAGUCAGCCCAACACAUUAGCAAUUAUUAGU
rnacentral:ribozyme from 1 species